rnacentral:rRNA from 1 species
UACGAAGGGGGCUAGCGUUGCUCGGAAUCACUGGGCGUAAAGCGCACGUAGGCGGACUUUUAAGUCAGGGUGAAAUCCCGGGGCUCAACCCCGGAACUGCCCUUGAAACUGGAGAGCUAGAAUCUUGGAGAGGCGAGUGGAAUUCCGGAGUGAUAGAGGUGAAAUUCGUAGAUAUUCGGAAGAACACCAGUGGCGAAGGCGACUCGCUGGACAAGUAUUGACGCUGAGGUGACGAAAGGCGUGGGGAGCAAACAGG